rnacentral:misc_RNA from 1 species
AGUCUCGAUUCGAUCAUUUCGAUGAUUCGACGACGUUUGGCCAUAUUGUCCGCCGGUUGCAGCCAGCUGGUGAAUGGUGUGGUGAGCCGUGAGCUGCUUUCAUGCAGUCUGUGAUGUUGUAUUAUCCUGGAAUGUGAAAUGAAAAGUGUUGGUUGUUGUAGACUUGUAACACUACUGUGCUUGUUUGUCAUUUGUUGUGACAUUCACAGAGAUAAAUACUUCAGAUCAAAAAAGUAAUUAUGUUGAUCGACUUUUUAACCCUAAGCCUGGUGAAAUCUGAGCUUCUUCAUUGCAGUCCAAUGUGCACAUGAAUUUGGUGCAGCCAGCUGGUGAAGGUGUUCCUCUUGCAGGCUUGCUACCUGUACUGGUUAUAGCUUUCGCUCACAUGCAGAAAAACUUCAGAACAAACUAAAAUAAUUAAGUCCAAUGUGCACAUGAAUUUAUUGGUGCAGCCAGCUGGUGAAUGGUGUGUUGACCUGUUGCAUGCAGACUGUGGUGAUUGUGUCGUUUGUUCAUUUAACUAUUGGACCGUUCAGUCGUUCGUUUAUUCUAAGAAAUUUGUCGCUUGGUACUAGGUGUGUAAAUUGUGUCCACCAGUUGGCGGAGUGUCUGUUCGUGAGUGCGUGACGAAAUUCCGCCAUUUGUUUUUGAGAUGAUGGACGGAAAUGUGUUUGCUGACGGUGUUUUUCGCUUUUACAUUUAAAAACGAUUUGGUAUUUCCACGCCAUUC